rfam:Staphylococcus sp. HGB0015 genomic scaffold aczIz-supercont1.1, whole genome shotgun sequence.
AUAUUAUAAUCUUUUUACAUAAGGCACCUCAUUAAUUUAGUUUUUGUUGUGAUGAAUUAAAUUAUACGAAAGUGCCUUAAUUUUUUAAGUAUAAUGGUGAAUGAUUACAUAUAUAAGCGAAGUAUUUAUAGCGAGACUCCUGAGGGAACAGGACGAGCCGAAGACUACAGGCUGAGGCUGUCCCCUCGGAAAGCGAGCCUAUAUAAUACGAAGCAUGAUAAUAAAUAGCUCGAAGACG